UCUUCGAGGAGCGCAGCAGUCUUGCAUAUUUCGAGAAAAGUAUUGGGAGAGAACGUCAGAGGUGAUGACUUCGGUACAAAGGUGCUGAUUUGGUUCGACCGUCAACAAGUGAUUUAGGAUCAGUUCUUGAGUUGGAGGGUGCAGCGUUGGAUGGAAGUAGCAGCAUGUGUGCACACACUUAUUUAUAUAUGUUGAACAAAUAUUUUAUUACCAUGUUUGGAUGUGGAGACUCUGAUGUUGUUAUAAACUCUCUGGUGUGGUUCAGUUUGUAAAAUGUUUAUUUCACUUCAGAGUUUCUUUUAUGUAUCUGAGCUUUUUAUGUGUUGCUUC